CAAAGAUUAAGCCAUGCAUGUCUAAGUAUAAGCAAUUUAUACAGCGAAACUGCGAAUGGCUCAUUAAAUCAGUCAUAAUCAACUUGGCAUAAAUUCUACCACCUGGAUAACCGUGGUAAUUCUAGAGCUAAUACAUGCAAGAGAAGUGGCGACGAAAGAAGCCAUGCAUUUAUUAGAUACAAGCCAACUUGGGGUAAAACCCAGUCUUGGUGAAUCAUAAUAACUUGCCGAUCGAAGUGAGUCGACAGCUCAAUCGAUUCUCUGCCCUAUCACCGCUUAUCUACGUAGUGUAGUGGACUACUUAGGCAGUUACGGGUAACGGGGAAUAAGGGUUCUAUUCCGGAGAGGGAGCCUGAGAAACGGCUACCACAUCCAAGGAAGGCAGCAGGCGCGCAAAUUACCCAAUCCCGACAUGGGGAGGUAGUGACAAUACAUAACAAUGCAGGACCUUUUAGGUCUUGCAAUUGGAAUGAGUACAAUUUAAAUCCUUUAACGAGGAUCAAUUGGAGGGCAAGUCUGGUGCCAGCAGCCGCGGUAAUUCCAGCUCCAAUAGCGUAUAUUAAAGUUGUUGCAGUUAAAACGUCCGUAGCCAAGUGUUUGCCUUUGGACUAGGUUCUCUUCAUUCAGUUGUUGGGAAUAUCUAGGACUAGGCAUUAGCUUAGUUGUGCUCGGCCUUUGGGUUGGGUACAUUUAACUAAGCGUAUUACCAUGAGCAAAUCAGAGUGCUUAAAGCAGGCUUUACAGCUUGAAUGUGUUAGCAUGGAAUAAUGAAAUAUAACCCAAGGUCUUUUUCGUUGGUUUCGAGGCCUAAGUAAUGAUAAAUAGGAGUGGUCGGAGGCAUUUGUAUUUGAGCGCUAGAGGUGAAAUUCUUGGAUUGCUCGAAGACAAACUACUGCGAAAGCUUUUGUCCUAGCACAUCUCCGUUGAUCAGGGGCUAAAGUUAGGGGAUCGAAGACGAUUAGAUACCGUCGUAGUCUUAACCACAAACGAUGCCGACUAGAGAUUGGGCUUGUUCAUUACGACUUGCUCAGGAUCUUAGCGAAAGCAAAGUUUUUGGGUUCUGGGGGGAGUACGGCUCGCAAGGCUGAAACUUAAAGGAAUUGACGGAAGGGCACCACCAGGAGUGGAGCCUGCGGCU
rnacentral:rRNA from 1 species